UUUAUUGAUUAAACCAGCUAUUAUCAACGGAUAUAAGUAUUUUUUUUUUUAGUCGUUUUAGAAUCUUGAAAUGAUUAGAUAUUUUAUUUUUGCAGUAUAUUCGAAAUCCUAUCUUUAUUCCGCAUGCCCAUCAUGGAACAUUAUUCAAAUCGUGCGCGUUGUACUGUCACACAAAUAAUUCUUCGGUAUUCUCCUACUAGCCAAA